rnacentral:lncRNA from 1 species
GAUAAUUUUAAAGUUACUGCAAUGAUCUAGAAAGACUUUGAACGCUAGACAGUUAUCUUGAAGGCAUAUCAUUUCAUUCACUGGGAGACAAGAUGCAUUUAUUCAUUUCUCAUAUUUUCAUCAAGUUGAUUAAGGGCACCAUGCCAGAUACUUUGAGGGACACAAAGUUAACGUUCUUGAUAGAAGACUAGAGGAUUGAGCCCCAACGGUAUUGAGAAGGAACAAGACAAUGGAUUGCUGCAUGUUGAGAAAACAUAAG